AAUACAAAGAGGCCCCAAAAUGUCGGGUAGAGGUACAAGCAAAAACAGGAAAAAGGUAUACAAAAUAAAAAUCCAGUUUUCUCUAUUACUGUUUUUUCCCUCAUAUUUCUUUUGCCCUUUUUUUUUUCGUAUAUA
rnacentral:ribozyme from 13 species